GACGAACGCUGGCGGCGUGCCUAAUACAUGCAAGUCGAGCGAGCGGAACCAACAGAUUUACUUCGGUAAUGACGUUGGGAAAGCGAGCGGCGGAUGGGUGAGUAACACGUGGGGAACCUGCCCCUAAGUCUGGGAUACCAUUUGGAAACAGGUGCUAAUACCGGAUAAGAAAGCAGAUCGCAUGAUCAGCUUUUAAAAGGCGGCGUAAGCUGUCGCUAAGGGAUGGCCCCGCGGUGCAUUAGCUAGUUGGUAAGGUAACGGCUUACCAAGGCAACGAUGCAUAGCCGAGUUGGGAGACUGAUCGGCCACAUUGGGACUGAGACACGGCCCAAACUCCUACGGGAGGCAGCAGUAGGGAAUCUUCCACAAUGGACGCAAGUCUGAUGGAGCAACGCCGCGUGAGUGAAGAAGGUUUUCGGAUCGUAAAGCUCUGUUGUUGGUGAAGAAGGAUAGAGGUAGUAACUGGCCUUUAUUUGACGGUAAUCAACCAGAAAGUCACGGCUAACUACGUG
rnacentral:rRNA from 1 species